GAUGAACGCUAGCGGGAGGCCUAACACAUGCAAGCCGAGCGGUAUUGUUUCUUCGGAUAUGAGAGAGCGGCGUACGGGUGCGUAACACGUGUGCAACCUGCCUUUAUCUGGGGGAUAGCCUUUCGAAAGGAAGAUUAAUACUCCAUAAUAUAUUGAACGGCAUCGUUUAAUAUUGAAAGCUCCUUCGGAUAGAGAUGGUCACGCGCAAGAUUAGCUAGUUGGUGAGGUAACGGCUCACCAAGGCGAUGAUCCUUAGGGGGCAGGAUAGGGUGAUCCCCCACACUGGUACUGAGACACGGACCAGACUGCUACGGGAGGCAGCAGUGAGGAAGAUUGGUCAAUGGGUGCAAGUCUGAACCAGCCAUCCCGCGUGAAGGACGACUGCCGUAUGGGUUGUAAACUUCUUUUGUAUAAGGAUAAACCUAUCCUCGAGAGGGUAGCUGAAGGUACUAUACGAAUAAGCACCGGCUAACUCCGUG
rnacentral:rRNA from 1 species